rnacentral:rRNA from 1 species
GAACGCUGGCGGCGUGCCUAAUACCUGCAAGUCGAGCGAACGGACGAGAAGCUUGCUUCUCUGAUGUUAGCGGCGGACGGGUGAGUAACACGUGGAUAACCUACCUAUAAGACUGGGAUAACUUCGGGAAACCGGAGCUAAUACCGGAUAAUAUUUUGAACCGCAUGGUUCAAAAGUGAAAGACGGUCUUGCUGUCACUUAUAGAUGGAUCCGCGCUGCAUUAGCUAGUUGGUAAGGUAACGGCUUACCAAGGCAACGAUGCAUAGCCGACCUGAGAGGGUGAUCGGCCACACUGGAACUGAGACACGGUCCAGACUCCUACGGGAGGCAGCAGUAGGGAAUCUUCCGCAAUGGGCGAAAGCCUGACGGAGCAACGCCGCGUGAGUGAUGAAGGUCUUCGGAUCGUAAAACUCUGUUAUUAGGGAAGAACAUAUGUGUAAGUAACUGUGCACAUCUUGACGGUACCUAAUCAGAAAGCCACGGCUAACUACGUG